AGUGGAAGCGUCUGGAAAGGCGCGCGAUACAGGGUGACAGCCCCGUACACAAAAAUGCACAUAUUGUGAGCUCGAUGAGUAGGGCGGGACACGUGGUAUCCUGUCUGAAUAUGGGGGGCCCAUCCUCCAAGGCUAAAUACUCCUGACUGACCGAUAGUGAACCAGUACCGUGAGGGAAAGGCGAAAAGAACCCCGGCGAGGGGAGUGAAAAAGAACCUGAAACCGUGUACGUACAAGCAGUGGGAGCACGCUUAGGCGUGUGACUGCGUACCUUUUGUAUAAUGGGUCAGCGACUUAUAUUCUGUAGCAAGGUUAACCGAAUAGGGGAGCCGAAGGGAAACCGAGUCUUAACUGGGCGUUAAGUUGCAGGGUAUAGACCCGAAACCCGGUGAUCUAGCCAUGGGCAGGUUGAAGGUUGGGUAACACUAACUGGAGGACCGAACCGACUAAUGUUGAAAAAUUAGCGGAUGACUUGUGGCUGGGGGUGAAAGGCCAAUCAAACCGGGAGAUAGCUGGUUCUCCCCGAAAGCUAUUUAGGUAGCGCCUCGUGAAUUCAUCUCCGGGGGUAGAGCACUGUUUCGGCAAGGGGGUCAUCCCGACUUACCAACCCGAUGCAAACUGCGAAUACCGGAGAAUGUUAUCACGGGAGACACACGGCGGGUGCUAACGUCCGUCGUGAAGAGGGAAACAACCCAGACCGCCAGCUAAGGUCCCAAAGUCAUGGUUAAGUGGGAAACGAUGUGGGAAGGCCCAGACAGCCAGGAUGUUGGCUUAGAAGCAGCCAUCAUUUAAAGAAAGCGUAAUAGCUCACUGGUCGAGUCGGCCUGCGCGGAAGAUGUAACGGGGCUAAACCAU
rnacentral:rRNA from 1 species